rnacentral:tRNA from 2 species
GCCCUGUUAGCUCAGCUGGAUAGAGCACUUCCCUCCUAAGGAAGGGGUCGGACGUUCGAAUCGUCUACGGGGCA